GUCUGCCACAUGGGCCAAAUCAAGACCUUGCAUGAGGGAGUCCAGGCAAAAGUGGCACCAUGAGGGCUGCUGCAGUAAUCUUGUGGCCCUAGCCUAGGAUGACCCAUGAUUUCCGGUUAUGUGAGCGUGUGAGGGACGCCUUAGCUACUGCAUGAGCAAGUCAUCUGAGGUGUGACCCGGCUUCAAACCUGUGAGUAAUUCUACCACACCAGAUACUUUAAUCCAAGGAGAAAAUGUCACAUUUAUUGACAACAAUGCAAGCUUACAUGACUAUAACUUGGCUCAUGAAAUGAGAUGUAAUAUGUUAAGUGUUUGAAAAAAUACAAUGACUGUAAAUGAGAAGGAAAAUGAGCACAAAACUGCAUGAGUGAGUAAUGUUAAGUCCAGUUGGAGUACAUCACAUAGUCAUCUCUUGUAAGAAAAUAUAUGCAAAUAAUUAUCUGAAGUUAAGUGUGAGGAAGAUAUGCAAUACUCUGAAAAAAAAAAUGAAAAUAUGGUCUAUCAUGUCUUCUCAAGAGAUUCUGAAAAAGUAUUUAAGUCCUUGAAAUUUAUGCCCAUCAUAGGCUAAAGUGCAGCAAAUACAGUACAGGUAUAGACCCUCAAAUCAGGGGCCUUUGGAACCAUGACCAGACUGUUUUUGAGGGUUUUCCAGUUUCCUGGGUCCUAGGUCAUCCAUCUGUUACUCAAGACUUGCUAGUAGACGAAGUCAUGUUUUUUGUCUACACACACUCACUUAGUUGAACUUUGUUUUACUUCUUGAAUAACAAAAUAAAAAACAAUGUUGUAUGCAUAAUUUAAAUUUGAAAAAAAAAUAUAUAUAGUUUUAUAA